UGGGGAAUAUUGCACAAUGGGCGAAAGCCUGAUGCAGCGACGCCGCGUGAGGGAUGACGGCCUUCGGGUUGUAAACCUCUUUCAGCAGGGACGAAGCGCAAGUGACGGUACCUGCAGAAGAAGCACCGGCUAACUACGUGCCAGCAGCCGCGGUAAUACGUAGGGUGCAAGCGUUGUCCGGAAUUACUGGGCGUAAAGAGUUCGUAGGCGGUUUGUCGCGUCGUUUGUGAAAACCAGCAGCUCAACUGCUGGCUUGCAGGCGAUUCGGGCAGACUUGAGUACUGCAGGGGAGACUGGAAUUCCUGGUGUAGCGGUGAAAUGCGCAGAUAUCAGGAGGAACACCGGUGGCGAAGGCGGGUCUCUGGGCAGUAACUGACGCUGAGGAACGAAAGCGUGGGUAGCGAACAGG
rnacentral:rRNA from 1 species